CUUUCUGUGUCUCUCAUUCCUGUUCUUGCUAUCACUCUUGCUCUCGCUGUGUGUGUGUCCUUCUCUCUUUCUCUCUAUGUCUUCCUCUCUCUCUGCAUCUCUUUGUGUCUCUCUCUCCCUCCCUCCCAUAUAUCCAUCCAUUUCAUUUUCUCUUUGUCUUUCCCAACAUCCCUUUUUUUGUCCAGUCUGGAUCUGGUCCUAAGGGUCAUCUUCUCUCUCCAGCACUGACAUCCUCCCAGGGUGUCUGCCUCCUUCCAUAGCCUGUCUUAGGAUGUGUGACUGGCUGAUGGUGCCUUCCUGCAGUGAAGACCCAGGUGUGGUGUGGCCCCGUGGCCGGCCGGAUCGCCUGCUGUCUAACGCUCUGCCCAUUCCCUGUUACUAGAGCUUCUCAACACAGGUGAGGAUUUCUAGAAACCCCUUCUGUAAAUUUACCUGUGGAUGCCGAGGGACAGAAGAUGGGUCAACUGGACAAUAAUGCACACCAUAGUCUCCAAUCACCUCAGCUUUCACUACAUUUUGAAAAUGUCCACUAGCAGUAGAAGGUAAGUAUGGGGGUACAUGCUAGUGAUCUCACCCCUUCAGAAGUUGAAGCAAGGGGGUUCCAAGUUUGAGACCAACCUGGACAACACAAUGAGAGUCUGUCUGAAAAUGAAUUAAGCAUUUAAAUAAUGGACGUGCACACACCUUUAAUCCCAGCACUAGAGAGGCAGAUGCAGAAGGAGCUCUGUGGAUUUGAGACCAUCCUGUUCUACAUAUCGACUUCCAGAUCUGCAAGGACUGCAUAAAGAUAGCCUGUCCCAAAACAAACAAAAAAAUGGAUUUGCUAUGCAAAUGUAUAGAUCCUACAAAGGAAUCUAUACCCUUUUGUAAAAAUGGCAAUGUGUGCUAGGGAAAGAGUUCAUGUUGCAGAUAAGAACCUGUUCUUAAAAUCAAUAUUGGUGUCAGCCCAUCUGGGUGUGAAUACCUGUGUGUGUGUAGGUAAAAUACAUAUAAAUGUCUGAGACGUAUAUAUUAGAUGCAAGUGCACAUGAAUCUAUAUAUACCAACUAUGCAUGUGUGCAGGUCUGAGUGCUCGUCUGUGAACACAGAAAGUGGGAAAUGUUCUGCUGUUAAAUGCACCAUACAUGGUGGAAAUGGUUGUUAUUGGCUACAUUUAUUUUAUUCUUUAUAGAUUCAUGGAUUGUCUGAGAAACUUAAGAUGUGCGCAAAUUGCCUUUUGAACAUUUUUGUAGUAACCCUAACUGACCUCAAACUUACAGAGAUCUACCUCCCCCUCCCCAGUGCCAGGAUUUAAGGCAUGCAUCACCACACCCAGACAUACAAAACAUAUUGACAAUGGAAUGAACUAGCAUGAAACUGUCAACUAGCAUAAGACACGGGUAACUUUUGUCAAGAGAAGAAUUAUGCUCAAUUAUUCCAACAAAUGUUCUUCCUUACGUUUCAGACAAUACGGGGAUGCACAAAACAUUCUCAACUUCACCUAAAUUUUCAUUGAAUUGUGAAAAAUGAGUUCACGUUUUUAACAAUGUAUUGUGAAGAAAUUGGAACUCUACACUAUAUAUUUGGAUGAGUCCUUGAUAUAAGCGUGUCAGUUCUGAGCUGGGAGAUGGAGAGAUUGGUACAGCGUUCUCUGUGCACCGAGUUCAAGCCCUAGAACCUGUAUAGAAGAGUCAGGUGCGGUGACUCCAGCCCUUGUGAUCUUAACUGCAGGGAGGCAGAGACAGGUGGACCCCCAGCCUACCCUACUUGGUGAGUUACAGGGCAGUGAUGGACUUUGUCUCAAAAGAUCCCAGGUAAAUGGUUCCUGAGGAAUGACACUUGAUGUUGUUCUCUGUCUCCAUGUGUACACGAACACAUGCACACUCUCUCGAGUGCGCACUCUCGAAUACACACACAUCACCGCAAUUCAACAAACAGUAUUUCAUUUUAGUAAGGGGGGGCACUAAUUAAGAAAUCACAAGAACAAAAGGAGCUCUCUCUGAGAGUAAAUGGCAGAGGGGAACCCAUCCCUAACAAGACAUUUAUACCAUCCCUUCCAAGCAAGACUCAAAAAACACGUCAGAAGAGGGGGAAGAAAGAAUAUAAAAGCCAAAUGUUAGGGAGAAUGGCUGUGAAAUGCCAUGUUCUGGAAACACAGAGUAGUUGUGGGUGGCUGGAGGUCUGACAAGAAAGGCCAGUUAGCAGUCCGGUGUGGAUGGAGGAGGGGCUCACAAGGCCCCGCCCCCUGCUGAUGAACUGUUUCCUAGGGAAAGAUCCAGGGAGAGGGGGGAGCCCUUGCUUACCCACAGAGGACCAAACCCGGCUCCUAUUGAUAUCUCCCAUCCAAGGCUCACAGAAAUGGCCCUGGUUAAAUGAAGUGGGUCACAAAACAAAUCAGAAGUCAUGACCUGGGAAGGGAAGGAGAUGGUGGUGAUAGGACUGGAAGGGAGAUGAGAGGGUGUGGGGGAGAAAGUCAUCAGAAUAUGUUAUACACAAGCAUGACAUUGCCAGAACACAAAUUUGAUAAGAACUGAAAGCAAGUGGCAAUCUUUUCGCAAGAAAAUGGGGUUGGAUCCUAGCCUCAUAGCACACAUACAAUUUAAACUCAAAUAGGAAAUGGCCCAAGGCAGGAACUGGAGGCAGGAACUGAAGCAGAGGCCAUGGAGAGAUGCUACUCACUGGCUUGCCUGCUCUGUGCUCUCCUACCUUUCUUAUACAGCCCAGGAUGCCUAUGGAUGGCACUGCCCACAGUGGACCAAGCCUUCCUAUAUCAAUUAACAGUUAAUAAGAUGCCUCGUAGACAUGGCAACAGGCCAGCCUGAGCUGGACAAGUUUUCAGUUGAGGUUCCAUCUUCCAGGGGACUUGAGGUUUGCAUCAGGCUGACCAUCGAAGCUAGCUAUGACAUGAACCUAUUUCUUGGCUUAUAUUUUCUUUUUAAUCAUUAGUUGCUAGCACACUUUCCUCCAUGUCCUUGAGCAGAGUUAUAACAACAGCCUUGAAAUAUUUGCCUCUCAACUCUAAGGUGUGGGUCACCUUGUUAUCUCAUAUCUUCAUACAUCUAAUAACUUUCUAAUGUCUCUGUCUUUUAUUGGUACUAUAUUGUUUGGGGGAGGGAAUGUACUACAUAAAACUUAAUUUUAAAAAUUCAUUCACUCAUUCAUUCAUUCAUUCAUUCACGUGUGUCACUCUGGAGGUAGGGGAAUGUUUGGAACUUGGUUGUCUCCUUCCCCCAUGUAUGUCCUGGGAAUCUAGCUCAGACCUUCAGGCUUCCUGGCAAGCUCCUUUACCCACUGAGCCAUGUAAAAUUUAAAUUUAAACAUGUUUAGAUUUCCAUAAACAGGAUUAAAAGACACACAGUCAAUGGGAGGCGAAUGUGUUCCCGGUGCCUGUGGCAGACAAAGGGUUAAUUUUCAGCUCCUACAAAUUGUUAAGAAAAAGACAAAGCAUCCGACAGAAAAUGAUUCCCAGGACGUGAAUAGGCAGGAGAAGAGUAAACUCCAAUGGCCAAUAAACAUAUGGCUGGAGCUCCUGCACUCGGGGAAAUGCAAAUUAAAAUAGCAACGCGGUGGCGCUUCUCACCCAUACGAUUGGCAAGGAUUCAAGAGCAUCCACACCUACUCCUAAAGAGAAUGCAAGGGAAAGUGGAUUUUUAAGGAUAGUCAGUGACAAUAGAAUUAAUUCUGCCUGAUGGGGAAAGCUAUAU
rnacentral:lncRNA from 1 species